GAUUCUGGCUCAGGACGAACGCUGGCGGCGUGCCUAACACAUGCAAGUCGAACGAAGCUCCGAGAAACAAGACUUCGGUCAAGCGGAACGGAUGACUGAGUGGCGAACGGGUGAGUAACGCGUGAGGAACCUGCCUUUCAGUGGGGGACAACAGUUGGAAACGACUGCUAAUACCGCAUGAUGUACUUUGGGGGCAUCCCCGAGGUACCAAAGAUUUAUUGCUGAAAGAUGGCCUCGCGUCUGAUUAGAUAGUUGGUGGGGUAACGGCCUACCAAGUCGACGAUCAGUAGCCGGACUGAGAGGUUGAACGGCCACAUUGGGACUGAGAUACGGCCCAGACUCCUACGGGAGGCAGCAGUGGGGAAUAUUGGGGACCAAUGGGGGAAACCCUGACCCAGCAACGCCGCGUGAAGGAAGAAGGCUUUCGGGUUGUAAACUUCUUUACCAGGGACGAAGGACGUGACGGUACCUGGAGAAAAAGCCACGGCUAACUACGUGCCAGCCGCCGC
rnacentral:rRNA from 1 species